UACGUAGGGUGCGAGCGUUAAUCGGAAUUACUGGGCGUAAAGCGUGCGCAGGCGGUUCGUUAUGUCCGAUGUGAAAGCCCCCGAGCUCAACUUGGGAAUGGCAUUGGAAACUGGCGGGCUGGAGUGUGGCAGAGGGGGGUGGAAUUCCACGUGUAGCAGUGAAAUGCGUAGAGAUGUGGAGGAACACCGAUGGCGAAGGCAGCCUCCUGGGCCAGCACUGACGCUCAUGCACGAAAGCGUGGGGAG
rnacentral:rRNA from 1 species